UAGAUUUUCAUUGAUUAUGUUCGUGGUUUAGAGCUUUGGCGCCUGGUCUCUUGGACUCGGAACUUCUUAAGCUGCAGACACUGGAGCACCUUAUGCGGAUGUCACUGUAAUGACCCCAACCCCAAACUAUCCCCAAAGGCCAUUUUGUCUUUCUUUAAAAGAGAAAGAAAGAAAGAAAGAAAGAAAGAAAGAGAGAGAGAGAGAGAGAGAGAGAAAGACAGAGAGAGAGAGGAAGAAGAGGAAGGGAGAAAGCUCACCUGAGCUCGUCGCCGGCCGUGAUCACGUUCAGCUCGUCACCCCCGAUCAACACCCUAGACCAUCAUCGUGUUCCUCUCGAUGAGACGAAGCCGUAGCCGCCGACCGCGCCGCAAUCGGAGCCCGGAUGAGCCCGCACGCGCCUCCAGAAAUUUUGCCUCUGCGCGCGCGUGAGGUACACGCGCCGCCGCCGGAAAUCGUCGCCGCCGCCUCCGCCGCCGGUAAGCUCCGCCCUCGCCGCCGGUGACCGACACCGGUGACUCGGUCAACUCGUCCGAGUCAACUCAGCGAGUCAACUCGGUUGACUCGGUAAACCGGUGGAUUGACUGGUUUGACCGGUUUAAAUUGAAUUUGGUUCGGUUAGGGUAAACCGGUCGGUUUAGUCAAAUCGAUUUCUGGUCAAAGCUUGACCGGGUUGACUUUGACCAGCGGGUUGACUUUUCCGAAAACCUUGACCAGUUCCGUUUUCGACCGUUCGAAAGGCGUUCUGACUCAGAAUUUCGAUCUGAUUUCAGAUAUGGUGUCUAUUUGAGCAGCUGGAGUUCAUAGACAACACUUUUCUAUUGCUAAGGUGAGACAAACAAGUAUGUGAUAUUUGGACGGACUUGGUGCUAUUGGACUUUUCUUUCGGAUUUUAUUUGGGCAUGGGUGAGAGUUGUCGGGUUUAUGGGCUUUUAUAUUACGGGAUAUUGUUGGUGGCCCGUCGUCCUUAGUGUCAGGGAGACGUGUGUCACUUUGUUGUAUGAUGACGCAUUGGGGGUGACACGCUGUCCUCCAGAUAGGAGGUGACGGGUGUCACAAAUUUGGUAUCAGAGCGGGUUCCAUCCCGGUUCCGUCCCGGGAUGGCGGUCAGGGGAUUCGGUUUUCAUCGGUUUUCAACGUUCUUUUUGUUUUUAAAAAAAAAAUAUAUAUAUAUAUAUAUAUAUAUAUAUAUAUAUAUUUAUUUAUAUAUUUGGAAAUUCUUUUAGCACCAUUCUGUCCAGUAAUUACUAACUCAAAUGUCUCUUUCUAUGACGAUGAGUAAAAUCAUCGUCAUUCGUCCUUCGACUAUCAGAGUUCUCGCCAGAUGUUCAGCAGUUGCGUGAAGUCCAAGUUCGUCAGUUUUCUCGGGAGUUAUCAGUUUCUUCGGUCAUGAUUUCGAGGCUAUCCAGGAGUGGAUAUGUGACGUUUUUGCCACCAGCCCACUUCAAGCAAUCGUUCCACGAGUUUUGUUACUGGAGAUUAUGUGGUGUGUGGUAUGAGCCAUUGGUAGGCAUGUGUUGUUGUGUGUACGAGUAUAUUGACUAUUUUGGAGAUAUAUUUGUUUUGUGAACUCGUGGAGAUCGCUUUUGAAUUGGGGUGCAGCAGCUUGCGUUGUGUGGGUGUUGGAGUUACACUUUGGUAUGUUUACCAAUUUUGGCAUUGUUGAUCGUUUCAGAGAUGUGUCGGUUUGGACAAUUGAUAUAGGACAUUGGGAGCUGUUUAUGUCCAUCACGGUGUACCAGUUAUGCUUGGAGGGCCGAUUUGUUCGGAUAUUCGUCAGGGAUGGAGCUAUGUUUUUACGAUGUCAUCCUUGGGAUGGAUUGGCUGUCACGGCAUCGAGUAGUGUUGGAUUUCCUGAGGGCAAGAGUUCCUAUUGCUGGAGCAAAUGGAAGUUUUUAUUGCAUGCAUUCUACAUGCUGAGGAGUUAUAGGACAUAUGAGCAGAGAGAUUUUUGGCGACCAUUUCAAUAGUUAAGGAUGAUGGACAGUAUGAGCUGCAUGAUCUUCUGAUUAUUGCAGAGUGUGAGGAUUUUUUUUUGUGGCCUUAGGAAGGGUCACCACCAGACAGAGGAUACACUCUUGCGAUUGAUUUGGAACCACGGACAUCACCGGUUUCACAAAUUCUAUACUGAUUAGCGCCAGCGGAGAUGACCAAGUUGGAAGAGCAUAUUAAAGUUUCAUCAGACAAGGGUUUUAUCAGACCAAGUACUUUACCGUGGGGAACAUCAUCAUUGUUUGUAAGGAAGAAAGAUGGGAGUUUCAAGCUUUGUAUCGACUACAUAGACUUGAACAUGGUAACCAUCGUAUUGACGAGUUGUUAGAAGAGCUUAAUGGAGGUUCAUCGUUCUCGAAGUUUGUCUUGGCAUCAAGAUACCAUCAGAUUGCUAUAGCUGAGGAGUAUGUACGGAAUGCAGAUUUCCGUUAUGGAUAUUACGAGUUCGUAGUGAUACCAUUUGGGUCGACAAAGGCACUGUUGCAUUCAUGAAGAUAUGAAUGACGUUUUCGUGAACAUUUGGAUAGGUGUGCGAUUGUAUUCACCAACGACAUCCUGAUUAUUUUGGAAUAGAAAGGAGAUUUGUGAGCAUUUAGCGGAUUGCGUUGGAUAAGCCUGGAGAGCACCAGUUGUUCGCUAAGUUGAGGAAGUGUAGCUUCUGGCAGAGGAAUGUUGUAUUUUUGGGUAACAUGGUUUUGGAAGCAGAAUUUUGAUGGAUCCAAAGAAGAUUAAUACCGUUUCGGGAAGGUCGGAACCUAAGAGCGCUACAAAGAUCUGCCGUUCUUUUUGGGUUAAUAGUGUACUACUGGAAGUUCAUCAAGGGUUUCACCGGUAUUGUAAUGUUAAAGACGCGGUCUACAUGUAAAGACGUUAAGUGUGGUUGGAUAGAUUUUUGUUCGAGGAGUUUCACUGAAUUGAAGCACAACUAAUGAAGACACCAGUUUUGGGUUCUACUGAGGCUGAGGCUUGCUGUGAUGUGUCAGAUACUGGAUUGGAUUUAAAUUAAGGUAUGAGGAUUAAGUCAUUCAUAUGCAUCACGCCAGAGAGGCUGUAGUGGUAUUUGCGUUAUCGUUUUGGAGAUCGUAAUUGUACGGGAAGGAAGUUCAGAUUCUCUGGGAUUAUUAGAAUGUGAAAUUUAUCUUCAUUUAUUAAAAACUUGUACUUGGACAGUGCAAUUGGAUUGAGUUUGUAGCAGGCUAUAGUCUGGAUAUCGCAUACUAUCUGGUAAGGACAACCAGGUGAUAAAUGCCUUGGGUAGGCGUAUGAGCUGUACCUCAGGAACCAAGAAGGUUCAUGAGUUGGAGAUUUGCUAAUCUCAGAUUGUGUGUUAUUACUGUCAAAGGAAAGACAUAUGGCCUUAAGGCUUGGAGCAGGCAGUUUUGCUAUGGAGGAUACACAAGCAUGAGUUAGCAUUAUGGAUUUGGUUGAACAGAUCGAGAUUGGGAGUAUUGGAUAUCAUACAGCUUUGAGCAGGAUAUACUUGUACCGAAACCGAGUUUGUGUGUUGGACGAUAAGUUGUUAAGAAAAGGAAUCUUACAACAAACAUAUCACUCGUGUUUCUCAACGCAUCGGGAACACCAAAGGGUACAAAGAUAUGAAGAGUUAACUAUAAUUGGUGUAGUAUGAAGAUGUUUGUAACUACAUUACGUCGCGGUGCCAGACAUGUUAUAUGGCAAUGACAGAGGAUCAGUUAUCUAUUAUGUUAUUUUUGAGCUUGCUUUUGCCGGAGUGGAAAUGAGGCAUGGUGAUUAUGGACAUUGUUAUUGGAUUUUAAAUCACCAUAUGUGGAAAGGAUGCCACAUGGGUAGUCAUGGAUAGACUUACCAAGUCAGCCCAUUUUCUAAGUAAUUAAGAAGACAAUCAGAGAUAAUUAAUUGGAGCAGACCUACAUUAUUGAGUUUGGGAAGUUUCAUUGAUGUCAACAUUGUAUCGGAUUGGGAAUCGAAGUUCACAUCUACAUUUCAGAGAGCCUUUCGGAAGGCACUUGGGACAAAGAUCAUGUGAGUACAUCUUAUCAUCCGUUGACAUAUUGUCAGUCAGAGAGGACUACUCAGAACUUAAAGGAUAUGUUCAGAGAUUGCGUGGGAUGGAAUUUCAGAAAGCAUCUACCAAUACCAGAGUUUGCCUAUAUCGACAGCUAUCUUUUGAGUAUAAAAAAAAAAAAAUUUAUAUGAGGGUUAUUUAUGGUAGAACUUAUAAUAUACCACUUUGUUGGACCAAAGUGGGGGAGCAAUAUGAGUUAGAACUAUUAAUGGUUCAAGAGACAGUAGAGCAAAGGACAUGCUCAAGGAUUGACUUUCGGAAGCCCAUGACGUCAAAAGAUUUAUGCAGCUAAGCGCCGUAAGGAUUUGGAGCUACAUAUGGGCACCUAAUAUACUUGAAAUUAAGGACAUUUCAGGAGGGGCCUAAGACUCAGAAGAUAAAAGAGCUUAAACCGAGACACAUGGAAUUGUAUCCGGCACUGGAGUGGAUUGGAUGAGUUGCUUGCAGUUACUUUAUCAGCAGUAUAUCAGCCUUCUAGGACUUGGUUCAUAUGACAGCAUUGCAAAAGUUGAGAAGGCGCUAUAAUUAUUUUGCAGUUGACAUCAAGUGAGUUCAUAAAGAUUUUAUGGACCUUAUCAUCUAUUGAAGAUUUUGGAUCAUCAAGAGAAAACAGUUCGGGGAAUGUCGACCGUGUUUGUCCGAAUUCGUUGGGAGGGAGAUAAGACUCAGGAGGAGAUCUGAAAGGCCGAGCGAGGAUUAGUAUUCGAGGUUUUGGAGGUUUUGCUACGAUAACAUUGGGCAUGUCAGCUUAUGAAUUGAAUUCGGGGACGAAUUCCUUGUAAGUGGGGGAGAAUUGUAAUGACCCCAACCCCAAACUAUCCCCAAAGGCAAUUUUGUCUUUCUUUAAAAGAGAAAGAAAGAAAGAAAGAAAGAAAGAAAGAAAGAAAGAAAGAGAGAGAGAGAGACAAAGAGAGAGAGAGAGAGAGAGAGAGAGAGGAAAAAGAGGAAAGGAGAAAGCUCACCUGAGCUCGUCGCCGGAUCACGUUCAGCUCGUCACCCCCGAUCAACACCCUAGGUAACCGCCGGAAACCGCAUGCCUUAAGUUUAGUUUCGUUUCCAUUUAGUAAAUCGCCCAUAACUUCCUAACCAUUGAUCAUCUCGUGCAUCCAAGGCCAUCAUCGUGUUCCUCUCGACGAGACGAAGCCGUAGCCGCCCACCGCGCCGCAAUCGGAGCCCGGAUGAGCCCGCACGCGCCUCCAGAAAUUUCGCCUCUGCGCGCGUGAGGUACACGCGCCGCCGCCGGAAAUCGUCGCCGCCGCCUCCGCCGCCGGUAAGCUCCGCCCUCGCCGCCGGUGACCGACGCCGGUGACUCGGUCAACUCGUCCGAGUCAACUCAGCGAGUCAACUCGGUUGACUCGGUAAACCUGUGGAUUGACUGGUUUAAAUUGAUUUCGGUUCGGUUAGGGUAAACCGGUCGGUUUAGUCAAAUCGAUUUCUGGUCAAAGCUUGACCGGGUUGACUUUGACCAGCGGGUUGACUUUUUCGAAAACCUUGACCAGUUCCGUUUUCGACCGUUCGAAAGGCGUUCUGACUCAGAAUUUCGAUCUGAUUUCAGAUAUGGAGUCUAUUUGAGCAGCUGGAGUUCAUAGACAACACUUUUCUAUUGCUAAGGUGAGACAAACAAGUAUGUGAUAUUUGGACGGACUUGGUGCUAUUGGACUUUUCUUUCGGAUUUUAUUUGGGCAUGGGUGAGAGUUGUCGGGUUUAUGGGCUUUUAUAUUACGGGAUAUUGUUGGUGGCCCGUCGUCCUUAGUGUCAGGAAAACGUGUGUCACUUUGUUGUAUGAUGACGCGUCAGGGGUGACACGCUGUCCUCCAGAUAGGAGGUGACGGGUGUCACAGUCACAUAGCUGGGAUUCAAUUGUUUCUUUAUUACCAAUGGGAGGUGAGCUGUCUGGGGAGAUCUAGACACUUCCCUUGAAGAAUACCACACUUGCGCUUUCUCCAAAAGAAAACUAUGGCAGCCAUCGCUAACCGUGUGAAACCCAAGUCUUGGGUUACAGAACCAAAAAAGUUCAGAAGAAUUAUAGCUUUUGGAAAACGGUCGUCUGAACUACCAUCCUCACAACUCUCUUCUUUUGACAUCAAGGUUAUAUCAAUUUUUUUUGCCACGGUUCUGCCUUUUCUGGGUCAUUGGAAUAUAACUUUGUUUCACUCUUUUAUACCCUGUAUGCAUAACAGGAACUUUCAAGAGUAGACAGCAGUUCAAAUGACAGCACAUCGUGCGGAGAGUUUCGGUCUGAGUACAGUGAAAUGAGCAGAGAAAGCAUACUAAAACUAGCAGAAAACACAGCUUACACAGCCACAACCGUUCUUGAUCUCUUCCGGUUUAUAGCCCCUAAGAUGAUGAGACGAGCAGAAGCUCAUUUCUGUCACGGCAUUGCCGAAGAUCUGGACGACCCUAAGUAUGGACAUUAUAAGUACUGGUCUAAUCCAUUAGAGACCAAAUUACCUGACGCACCAGAGAUGGAGAUGCACUGUCUUUACGGAGUUGGGAUUCCUACCGAGAGAUCUUAUGUUUACAAGCUCUCAUCCAUUUCCGGUAAAUGUAAGAGCAGCAUUCCAUUCCGAAUAGAUAGGUCAAUGGAUGGAGACAAUUCGUGUCUUAAAGGAGGAGCUCGAUUUGCCGACGGAGAAGAGAGUGUACCGGUGAUAAGUGCGGGGUUUAUGUGCGCAAAGGGAUGGAGAGGGAAAACACGGUUUUACCCAGCGGGGAUGGAGACAUUUGUGCGGGAAUAGAUACACAAGCCACGGGGAAGUCUACUGGAAAGUCGAGGAACGGAAAGUGGAGCCCAUGUAGACAUAAUGGGUAAUAUUGGACUCAUUGAAGAUGUUUAGAGGAUCGCUUCCGGAGCUUCAGGCCAGGAGAUAGGUAGCGAUAGGGUUUACUCUGAUGUGAUGAAGAUGUCGGAGAAGAUUAUAAUCAGGUUAUGACAUACUCCCUCUUCCAACAAAAAUUAAUGUAUUAUGUUUUAUAGUAAUGCAUAAUUAUUUAAGAA